GGGUGGUUGGGAGAAUGACCAUUUCCUGAUCAAGGUGGGCUCUGACAUCACUUCCAAUCAGGUGUCAGCAGGAAACAGGGUCUGUCUAGCCUAGACUCAUCUCCACUUGUCUGCUUUUCCUCUUAGAGCUGGGAAUGCUUGUCUGAGAAACCACAGAAACCAGGACUUGCCUAAGAACAUCCUGAGAAGCAGUAAUCAGGAAAGUGGUCACGAAACACAAGCCACAGACUGCUGAAUCCAGUGCAAAGAAGGGAAAAGAUCCCUGCUGCUCCCACCAGAACCAUAGCUUUCCAUUCUGAGGGCCGCUAUUGGAUGUCUGAGAGGGGAGAGAGGUCCAGAAAUCUACCCAAAGGCAACUCUGAGGAUCAAUUGGCAGAGAAGUGGUGAGGAAAUAGAAGCCACAGACUGCUGAAUCCCGACUCAAAAGAAAGAUAAGACCCCUGCUAGUCCCUCCAGAACAACAGCUUUCCAUUCCAAGGUGAGACAGUCCCAGUAGGAAGGGUUGACCCCUGUUGCUCAGGAGGAAGGUCCAGGGAGAAUCAUGGGCUAUGGUAGACUUUAGGCAUAGAACAUUGCCUGAACUAGUUGGAUGAGGCCUGGCUCAUCAAAAACCAUUAGACUGGCAGCGUUUUUGUCAUAGAGGGAGGAGGCUGUUGUUUGGGUGAAGGGAGAUGGAGAGGCAAUGAUGGAGAGGAGUCUGAAGGGGCUUGUAGAUUUGAGGAUGGAGGCUGGAAGGGAUCUGAGGUCAUAUUCUCCAACCUAAUUUUUUUUGUUUUUUGUUUUUAAAACAUUAUUUUAUUUGGUCAUUUUCAUACAUUAUUCAUUGGAAACAGAUAAUUUUCUUUUCGUUCCCAC
rnacentral:lncRNA from 1 species